AAAAGUUUUCCAUUGCCAAACAAGUAAAUAACCCCACUUGUUCUCGUUCAACAAAAAUGCCAAAGGCAAUAUCAUGCCCUUUUUAAAAAGACAAGGCGGCUUCAAACUGAAAAUCCUAAUGGGAUUCAUUGUGAAAACUUGAUGAAUAUUAAAUAAACCAAAAAAAGAAAAAACUAUAAAGUAGCAGCUGCCAAAAGAUUCAAAUAAUCAUACGAAUAGGUAAGUUGAUGCUUCUAUUGUUAAGAGUAUCUUGUCCAAUUUGUUCCAAGUAAAUAACAUGCUGACUAAUAAAUAGGCAUGUUUGAAGAACAUAGCAGGCAACUUGAGGCAAUCCCAAAUUAUAUAAUAUUCAGGAGAACUAGCUAUAUCAAUUCUUAGGGUUGUCCUUGGCUUUCUUCAUAUUAUGAAAUAGCUCACCAAGUUGCAAUUCACAGGCAGCUUGUGUCUCGGGGGCCAAUUCUUUAAGGAAUGAUUUCGUAAUGUCAUGGAUUGACACAAUCUGGAAGAUCUUACCACAAAACUUGCGCACCUCAGCCCGCCUUGACUUGUUUUCUGGCAUAUUCAUCACCAAUUCCUUUACCAGGUGACUGAGCUUUUGCAGAUGGUUUUUCAACAUCUUUUUUGAUGCAUUGCGGCUGCUUUCGUCAGUGCCAGAAGAAACCAUCGACUUCAAAAUUUCCAUCACUAAAUCAAGCGCAUCAACUCGGCGAAAUUCAGACUUUGCACUGCCACAUUUCUCCAAAAGGAAGCCAAAUAGAUGGUGCCCAAUCCAUGGCCUUCUUCUGAAUAUUUCUUUCAAAAAUUCAGAUUUUAUUUGAGACUUUUUACUGUCAAAAUAUCCCACCAACACCCCUUUAAAAAUAUCAAAAACUCUCUGCAGUUCAGAAUCAGAAAAUUUUCUGGCAUCAAUGAUUUUCAGAAUCCAAUAGGUUGAAUUCUGGGCAAGGGAAAUAAUCAUUUUGUGGCGCUUCCAUGAGGCUGACUGCUUCUUCUUUGAUGGAACUGCAGAUUUCUUCCUCUUGAAUGGUUUUGAUGCCAACUUUAAGUUCUUUUCCAAUAAAGAUUCAAGUGUAGACAGUUGCACGGCUUCACCCUUUGGGAAGUCCUUUGCUUUAAAUAUUUUCUUUUGCAGGAUUCCCCAUAUACGCUGUCCAAGCUGCUCACUGAUUUCUGUAGUAUGUGGUUUAACAAGUGCAGAUGCCAAGUUUGAGUACAAUGUCAGAACUUGAGGCUUGCCUGGAUUUUCAUGUAGGUAAAUCUCCAGCAAUGAAAGGACUCGAAGUUUGAACAAAACAAGCUGGGAUUGAGCAGUUUCACCCCCAGCCUGAUUCUUCCUCUCUUUGAAAAUUUGGGCAAGGUAGGUGUCCAUUCGGAACAUUGCAUCAUCAUCCAUUCCUCCAUCAGAAUCAUCAGAAUCUAUAGGUGAUUCCUUGACAGCUUCAUCAGCUUCUACUACUGCCUCAGAAUCAUCUGUCUGCUCUUCAAUCUCAACUGUUUCACCUAUCUCAGCUUCAUCAAUUUCAUCUUCUUCAAUACCAAGAAAAUCUUCAUCAUCAUCAUCAUCUUCGCUAUCCGGUUCCUGAUGUCUGGCUGGUUUCAAAUCCUUCUUGAUGACACGCAACAUCUGAAGAAGUCCAUCAUUUGUCACAUUAUCACAGAAACACUUGAAAACCUGAUAGCAUAGACAAAGCCAAGUUAAAAUCAUUAGGUUAAUGAUAAUCACGAGUAAGAAAAAUUAGUGACUGCAGAAAAUUCUUAAGAAACUUCCAUUGCUUCAUCUAAAUAGUUGACAUUACAAAUCCAGCAAAAUAUACAGAAAGCAGCUGACAUUUGAUCAGUGAUUCAACAACUGUUCAAUGGCAGAUCGCAUAGGAGCAGGAGACUGUGGCAACAAUGAAAGUAAUGUAUCCACAAGAACAUCCACUACCUCAGGAGUAUCAUCACUAUCCAAUUCAUUUUCUCCUGAGGAAUCAAGCAGAUCAGAAACUGCAAAAGCUUUCUUACAACAGAUAAUAAGCUCAGACACAGCUUCUGAUAAUUCUCCUGGUCGAAGGAGCACUUGGAGAAGCAACUGAAUCAGUAAAUACUUCAAUGCAUGCAAUCUAUUUGCAUCAGUGCUAAGCCCACAAUUCCUUUCCUCUCUGGACAAUCUAGUUUCCAUUUCUUGCAAUCUUUCCAAUGCCUUUUCAUCCUCAUUACUCAAAGGCCAAAAUAGAGAAACAGAAGGAAUGUUGUGUAAUGUGCUGAGGAACUGCAUGAAGUAAGACCCAAGAUCAUUGGGCUCAAGGCCAAUCGGCAAAGAAUGUGAACCUCUAUCUUUUGAGCACUUGCCAGCAAAAAUUGGAUCUGCUGAAUACACAUCUUGCAAGUGGCAUUUGAGGAGGCUACUUUUGGCCACCUAAAUUUCUCCUGUAAGUCAAAAGAUGUAACUUCAGAUCCAAGACAUGCAAAGAACAGACCUUGCACAGUUAGAAACUUCAAAAUUUCUUUUUGCACCCGAAACUUAGCUUCAUGAUCAAGCUUCAAAUAUUUCAAAAUACUUGGGAGAGACUCCACAACCCAGAUUUUAAAAAAAAUCAGAAUUUCCCAUUGCACAAUCCUUAUAGUCUACUGAACCUAUCUCUGAGUUGUCAUCAGCUGUCUGGCUCUGAUCCGAAGGUUCCUCUGAAGUGUGAUCUUCAUCCACAAACAUGUUCAUUAAAUUCUGAAUAAACAGCAUAGAGCCUGCUUCUGUUUCGAACUCUGCCAUUAAAGUUUUAACCAUUUUUGUUCUUGUGAUAUUAUCAAAUUUUCCAUUGCUAUGUUUUUGUAAAGCCACUAUGACAGCAACCCUUCUGACAUCAUCAUUUCCAACCCAAUCUGACAAUUCUUUAAGAAAAUGCUCUGCAACUUUAUACAGCCAAGAGUCUUUUGUUGAAAGUAUAUCCAUUAGGCACUGAACAAGUUUGUGAGAUAGAACAAUUGGAACAAAAGAUGCAGGUAGCCUGGGAAGAAGCAGAAGCAGAAUAUCAAAUGCCAAGUGCUUACGAUCAUGAGAUGAAAGAAGAAGUGAUCCCUCAAUGAUAACCUCGCAAAAAUUCUGAACAUUCUUUAAAGUUCCUUCUUCAGAAGAGCUACGUAUGCGACGUUUUUUAUGCUUCUUAAAAGAAUUAGAAGCUGACACCGUCCCUUCAGCUUGCAAAACAUCAUCAGGCAAAAGAAUAUUUACCAGGACAGGCCACACAGUGUGAACUCGAGGCCGACAGAAAGUUGAUUCCUUCAAGCAAUUAAUGAGUGAGGACAAAUGGUCUGAUGAAAAAAGUCUGCUAGCGCUAAAUGGAUAUGGCAAAAUAUUGCCGAAUACCAUGUUAUCAACAGAAAUUUUAUCCCGAAUUUUCAAGGCCAAAAGCAGUGCGUCAGGAUAUCCAACAUCUAUAGCUCUGUCAAACCACUCACAAAGACCAGGAGUCUCAAGUAUGUGAUUCAACAAGACAUCAGUUGGCAACUUGUCAACCAAAUCUAAAAUAAUCGCAAUGGCAGGCUCCUGCAAAUAUCGCUUCUUUGAUGCAAGGGAGAGAAGAGCAUUGACGAAUUCCUUGAUGAAUGGAGUCUUUUGAUCCGACAUCCACUCUUGGUUUAUUCUUCCUGAUUGGGCAAGAGCACCAUAUGCAAACAAAUGACCUAAAAGGCAGUCCUUUAUUUCCUGACCCUUCAUUGAUGAAGAAACCUCUAACAAAUCAACUAUUAGCUUCAGUAAUGAGUGCAGUUUGAUGCUAGGAAUUGUGCUGACCAACACAGUCAAACCUAACGCAAAUCCUUGUCUUGCACACUCCCUUGAUGAUGAAGCACCACGAAUGAGCCUACGCACAGCAUAUUUCAAAGAAGGUGCACAAUUAUUCAAACCAUCAUUUUUUUCAGCUUCCAAAGUCAAUCCACCUUCAAUCAAUUCCUUAUUCUCAACCAUCUCAUAUGCAUUCUGAACCGCCUGCAAUUCUGUCACCAAUCUCUCUACAGCAGCUUCUCUCACAGAAACAUCUGCUGAUGCCAAGUCCUUGAAAACACCAAUAUGGAACUCAGGCAAAUCACCAUUGGAUGAUCCCAGUAUCUGCCCCCGAGUUUCAUUAACAUCUUUUUCUACUUCCAUUAGUUUAGGCUUUGAUUCUUGAUUUUCCAAAGCAAGGCGGUGCCUUUCUUUGUCCAAAGCCUUCCUUUCCUUCCUUCUUUCCAUGGGUUUUACUGAACUAGGAACAGCAGGAGCAUCCCCAUGUGCUGUUUCUUCAUCUUUUUUCUUACACUUCUUCAGUUUCUUCUUAAGAGGAUUAGAAGCUACAUUCUCAGUGUUAGAAUCUACCAAAUUAUCUACUUCCUCGACAGAACCAGAACUCCUUUUCUUGCUUCCCAUUCAAGCCAAAAAUUUCCUCUUCUCUUGCUGAAAAAAUUUAUGCGAAACACCAAUACAAGAAUAAGAAUCACAGUGGCAAAGAACGGGAGAACGGAAUCCCAAUGUAAAGUACCCAAUACGACAGUCUGGUUUCGGCAAGCGGCAAUCAAAAACCCUAGCAAAAUUAACAAGGACUGCUUAUAACAAGAUGUAGAAGCAGCUCCACUGCCCAUUCAGUUGCACAG
rnacentral:misc_RNA from 1 species